rnacentral:rRNA from 1 species
UACGGAGGGUGCAAGCGUUAUCCGGAUUUACUGGGUUUAAAGGGUGUGUAGGCGGAUAUUUAAGUCAGAGGUGAAAUCUCCGGGCUCAACCCGGAAACUGCCUUUGAUACUAUUUAUCUUGAAUUUCGUUGAGGUUGGCGGAAUAUAUCAUGUAGCGGUGAAAUGCAUAGAUAUGAUAUAGAACACCGAUUGCGUAGGCAGCUGGCUGACCGACGAUUGACGCUGAGGCACGAAAGCGUGGGUAGCGAACAGG